UACGGAGGGUCCAAGCGUUAUCCGGAAUCAUUGGGUUUAAAGGGUGCGCAGGCGGUUUUGUAAGUCAGUGGUGAAAUCCCUUCGCUCAACGAAGGAACUGCCAUUGAUACUGCAAAACUUGAAUACAGUUGAAGUAGGCGGAAUGUGUAGUGUAGCGGUGAAAUGCUUAGAUAUUACACAGAACACCGAUAGCGAAGGCAGCUUACUAAACUGAGAUUGACGCUCAUGCACGAAAGCGUGGGGAGCGAACAGG
rnacentral:rRNA from 2 species